UUAUGUUAGUAAUAAUAAUUAUAGUGAAUAGACUUUGUACAUUAAUCCAUAAUGUGUGUCCAUAAUUGUCUUUAGUCUCCAUAUAAGACGUGCUGACAUGAGAUGAUCCGUGUGUUUGAUAUGAAGGUGAAUACAGUAUAUGUAGUGAACUUUGUGCUGUAUUGAUGAGUAGUUUAGUGAUCAGAGUCCAUGUAGUUUCCAGGAUCAGACUGAAUGCAGUGCUGUAAGCUGCUGUUGACUGUGUGAAUGUGUGUCUGUGCUGCUUGUUGCUGCUGUCAAACUUCAGAUGAGCCGGUAGUGAAGCCCGUGGUGAGCGUGUACCCAGCAGCAUCCAGAGCCCACCUGGAGGGGAAGAGCUCCCUGCUGUGUCUGGCCUCAGCCAUGUUUCCUCCUCUGGUCCAGUUCUCCUGGAAAAGACGAAAGGAGAAUGGUCCUCUGGAGGAUCUGCUCCCUGAUGAGGGAGAGCAGCUGGAGAUCAGAGAGUCAGGACGCACCGCCUCCAUCUUGCUGAUCCAUCAGCAAGUUAACAGCACAUAUAAAUACCACUGUGAGGUCCAACAUGAGGGGGGACCAGUGGAGGCCCAAACAGAACAAGAGGUUCCAGCUCCAGCAGCCUCCUGUCCUCCAGAGAGAGAUCCACCAGACCAGCUAGCUCUGGAGGAAGCUGACUUGUCCUUCCAGUUUCAGUGCAGGGUGAAGUUGUUCUGUCUGCUGUACACACAGCUGAUAGUGAAGAGUCUGGUGUACUGCUGUGGACUCUCUCUGCUGAUGAUCCUCAGAAACAAGGGACCGUCCACCAACUGAACACAUGCUGACUGACUGUUUUCUGCUCGACUUUUCUCACCAUCAAAUCUCAUCAAUUCAUCUCAUUUAUCACUUUAAUCACUAUUCACAAAUAUCAAUUAUGACGUGUUGUAGUUGUCAUCCUAACCGUAUAAAUACAUAUAUAUCUUAACAGUUACUAAGUUUAAAUUCUGUUGUGUUGAUACUUGAGUUUAUUUCUACUUUUAAUUAUGACUUGUAUAAUGAUAGAUCAGCCGUCUGGUAGAUAUUUCAUAGUUCAUAGUAUUUUUUCUGUUCUUGUGUUUCUCUUUAAUACAUUAUUCAGAGUGUGGCAGCUUUUUCAUUUUUUUCAGUGUAACAUUCUUAAUGAACGUAAAUGAGCAUAAAUAAAAGUUUCUGUUUUUU